AGUGAACGCUGGCGGUAGGCCUAACACAUGCAAGUCGAACGGCAGCACAGUAAGAGCUUGCUCUUACGGGUGGCGAGUGGCGGACGGGUGAGGAAUACAUCGGAAUCUACUUUUUCGUGGGGGAUAACGUAGGGAAACUUACGCUAAUACCGCAUACGACCUACGGGUGAAAGCAGGGGAUCUUCGGCCCUUGCGCGUUUGAAUGAGCCGAUGUCGGAUUAGCUAGUUGGCGGGGUAAAGGCCCACCAAGGCGACGAUCCGUAGCUGGUCUGAGAGGAUGAACACCCACACUGGAACUGAGACGCGGUCCAGACUCCUACGGGAGGCAGCGGUGGGGAAUAUUGGACAAUGGGCGCAAGACUGAUCCAGCCAUACCGCGUGGGUGAAGAAGGCCUUCGGGUUGUAAAGCCCUUUUGUUGGGAAAGAAAAGCAGCAGGUUAAUACCCCGCUGUUCUGACGGUACCCAAAGAAUAAGCACCGGCUAACUUCGUG
rnacentral:rRNA from 1 species